rnacentral:misc_RNA from 1 species
GGUCAAGCACAACAACGAGUGCCG